AACGAACGCUGGCGGCAUGCCUAACACAUGCAAGUCGAACGAGACCUUCGGGUCUAGUGGCGCACGGGUGCGUAACGCGUGGGAACCUGCCCUUAGGUUCGGAAUAACUCCCCGAAAGGGGUGCUAAUACCGGAUAAUGUCUUCGGACCAAAGAUUUAUCGCCUUUGGAUGGGCCCGAGUUGGAUUAGCUAAUUGGUAGGGUAAAAGCCUACCAAGGCGACGAUCCAUAGCUGGUCUGAGAGGAUGAUCAGCCACACUGGGACUGAGACACGGCCCAGACUCCUACGGGAGGCAGCAGUGGGGAAUAUUGGACAAUGGGCGAAAGCCUGAUCCAGCAAUGCCGCGUGAGUGAUGAAGGCCUUAGGGUUGUAAAGCUCUUUUACCCGGGAUGAUAAUGACAGUACCGGGAGAAUAAGCUCCGGCUAACUCCGUG
rnacentral:rRNA from 1 species